GCCGGGUGCAGUGGCUCACGCCUGUAAUCCCAGCACUUUGGGAGGCCGAGGCGGGUGGAUCACGAGGUCAGGAGAUCGAGACCAUCCUGGCUAACACAGUUAAACCCCAUCUCUACUAAAAAUACAAAAAAAUUAGCAGGGCGUGGUGGCGGGUGCCUGCAGUCCCAGCUACUCCCAGCUAAUUUUGUAUUUUUAGUAGAGACGGAGUUUCUCCAUGUUGGUCAGGCUGGUUGCGAACUCCUGACCUGAGGUGAUCCGCCCAC
rnacentral:lncRNA from 1 species